GCUGGGUGUGGUGGCACACACCUGUAAUCCCAGCAACUCAGGAGGCUGAGGCAGGAGGAUCCCAAAUUUAAGGCCAGCCUCAGUAAUUUAGAAGGCCUGAAGCAACUUGGCAAGAUUUUGUCUCAA
rnacentral:sRNA from 1 species